rnacentral:rRNA from 1 species
GACGUAGGGGGCCAGCGUUGCUCGGAAUUACUGGGUGUAAAGGGUUCGUAGGCGGUGUGGCAAGUCGGGUGUGAAAUCUCUGGGCUCAACCCAGAGUCUGCUUCCGAAACUGCCGUGCUUGAGUGUGGGAGAGGCGCGUGGAAUUGCAGGUGUAGCGGUGAAAUGCGUAGAUAUCUGCAGGAACACCCGUGGCGAAAGCGGCGCGCUGGACCACUACUGACGCUGAGGAACGAAAGCUAGGGGAGCAAACAGG